UUUAUUUCCCCACCUGAAGCCCUCUCGCCCUUCCAAGAGACAGGAGUCAGAUGAGGUCUUAGAUCUGCCCAAUCUAUCUUUGUCUCCUUUGUCCUUGUGAGGAAGCUCCUGCCAUUGAAGAUUAAUGGAAAUGCUUCAAAGAUUUCACCAGAAAGCAUAAUGGCUUGGUUUGAAAUACAUCUUAUAAAAAAUAAAAACAGACAACAACAACAACAACAAACUGAGGUCUGGAUGAUGGGAUGAGCCAGCCACACCAAAAGGCAGGGGAAGAGCAUUUCAUUUAGCGGUAAGUCAAGAAAGAAAAGGGCGACCAGUGUGAAGCCUUGGUGACUGUGGGGCAGGUGGAUGGGAUGGAGUUGCAGGCUCUGCAUGCCAUGCCAUGUAGGGAUUUCUAGGACACAGGAGCAGGCUUUGCCAUUUCUGGUUAACAGCUUGGUUUUUAUGAUGUCUUUAAAUCUGUAUUGGUCACCCCUGCUUCUAGCUCUCAGGUCUGUCACCUCCUGCCCACUGCUCCCCUUCCUGAUAGACUGUAUUAGCUCACACUGAGGGUAGUUGUGGGGCUGAGAAAGGGAACAGUGCUAUUUCUCUGAGGUCCAGCUGUGGCUCUCAUUUAUUACUGGCUUGGGCAGUUGGCUCCAUGGUCUUCUGCUCCAGGCUCGCUCUGUCCUUCACUGAGUGGCUCCUCCCCCUGCCAGUCCCCAGGUGAGCUCACAAAUAGGGCCCCCAGCUCUACUCUUCAUUCUUUUUGUAUAGCUCCUCCAGCUCUCUACUUAAUGAUGUCACACUGCAAUUUCUGCUUUGCUGUUGCCAUUCUGUUCUGUGGUGGGCCUUUCUUAGGCACUUGGUAUUUUUCUAAAUUAUUCUUUAGGAAGUAAGGUAGAAGCCCUCUGCCUGGGCCAGAAUUUUCAGAUGGUUUUUGACAUUACCAUACUGGAUUUUCAACCUAGGAUGUGAGAGUGGAUAUAGGAAACCAUGUUUCCUUUACCUGGUCUCUUUCUCUCUUCUCCCCCCAACCCCAGUUUUAGAAGAGACAUUUUAUUCACCUGUGAAGGUGUUUCCCACUUUUUCUACUAUCUACCUUUCUGCACUAUGGCUUCCAGUGAAGCUUUGUGCUCAGACCUUCUUGCUUUUGACACAUGGGGUGAAACUUUGGGGAUGAGGAGGACCCUUUCCUUUCUUAGCAAAUGCUGGCUCUGUUAUCAGCAAUAACCUAAGUGGAAACACAAAGCUAAGUGAUGAUUUCUGAGUACUAGGCCGGGCUCAGCUCUUUCUAUGGAGGAUUCAUGCCUUCAAGUCAUGGGUAGUUAGCUAUAGGGAGUAGGGCAAAUGAUUUACAUGGAAAGACAUAUUUACCAUAAUGAAGACAUUACCAGUCUACUGUCCAAAAGGGUAUUAUUACUACUAUACUGUAUGGAGAGGGUUUUUGUUGACCAAACUUGGCCUCUGUCCUCUGGUGCCAAAUAGAAAUGCAGAGACAGGGUUUUGAUUGAAGGAGAAAAAAUAGCUUUCCUUGCUUUGCCAGGCAAGGAGGCCACAGCAGGCUAAUGCCUAAAGACUAUGCCCUCCUUUGGGGAAGAAUUGUGAGGGUUUAUGGUCAAAAAGGAGAAAAACAAGGGUUAAGAUAAGAAUAAGAGUUGGAGCAAACAUGCAUUCUUCUUUUUAUCUCUUUCUGGAAUCUUUGUCACCAAAGCUAGUGUCAGGAGAUCUCAGCAUGAUUCUGAUGGUGGUCUUCUGAGUUAGCACAUCUUGACUUUUCCUAGAAUAACAAUGCUUGCGGGAAGUGCAUGUAGGUCAGAGAUUGGAAGAAACAAGGAAAGUUCCUGGAAAAUAUCAGGUGCUUAUAAUUUUUAACCCAUAGGUAAUUGUGCUCAGGGUACCUAAUCUUUAGUUCACAGGAGAUUCUGUUUAGGGUGCAAUCAAACGAGGGAGGAGGACAAGGAAGGGCUCCAAACUGUUCACUUUUAAAGUAUUCAUUUCUAAAGAAGCAUAAGGAAUAUAACUUUUUUCUUAAGUGUGUGUAUCUACCUCAUUUUGUGUAUCCCUUGAGGGGGAACCAGGACCUUGACCUAAAGGCUGCACUACUGUUGCUUGACUGUUCCUCCCUUGUCUUUUCAUCCCCUUUCCCAUCAGCAGCUGUCCGAGCCUGCCCCUUGGAACCCAUGGAACACCAUGGAGGCUGAAUGAGGUCCAUUUCCUAAAAACAAGAAAUGGGGACACGGAAAGGAUUUGGGGCCCUGCUCAGUUUCAGUUUUGAGGCUGAGUCAGACUAACUGGGUGAAUGCUGGGGCCAAUCAGCAUGGUGAGUUAUUGGCACAGCAGAAGUACAAAGGGCUUUUGGUGCUUAUCUAAUUUACAUGAUAGUCUGGUAGAACUACAGUUGUUCAGGUGUCUGCCCUUUCCUAAUUACCUCUUAUAAUUCAUAAGGAAACUGAACCAGCCCUACUAUUUGUGCAAACAUGUAGACGGGUUUUGGAUGAAGGAGAAAAAGAUAGCUUUAUUGCUUCACCAGGCAAAGGGGGCCAGAGAAGGCUAGUGCCUUAAAGACUGUGCCCCUCUUGGGAGAGAUCAGAAGGUGGUUUAUAGUUUGGGAGUGAAAAAUAGGGCCAUUGAUAAGGAUCAGGAUAGAUGAGAGCUUGCAUUGUCUUUCAAAGCUGGUGUUUAGGUGGUCCCAGGAUUGGUUCUGAUGAUCCUUCUUUUGGAAUGAAGAAUGCUUCAUCAACAUCUUCCAUUUGUUGGGAUUUCAGUUCUGUGGAAGAACUCAAAGAUAUUGUUAGGUAUAUUCCUUUAGGAGGAACCAGGAUCCUGCCUCAAGGCUGCACUAUUAUCUCUUGAGUGUUCUCCCUGGUCUCUGCAUCCCCUCCCUUCCCUGAUUAGUAACUAUUUGAACCUGCUUUUUGGAGCUCAGGGAAUAUCAUGGAGGCUGAAGCCCAUUCCCCAAAAACAAGAAAUUGAAGGCACAGAAAACUUGUGUGCCCAGGAGCCCCACAGGGCCCUGUUCGGUUUUACUAUUCCCACCUCACACUUCAAGAAUCGAUAUUAAUUAUUUUUACUCAAGCACAGUAGUUCCAUUUUACUGCGGCAUCUUUCAAUAAUCUAGACUUUAGCAACCCGUGCAUUUCCCCAGAUGACUUUCAUUAGUAAGGAUUGUCCAGGUGACUGAGCUUAACCUAACCUAGCAUACUCAACUGGAGUUCUUUAUUUUAUGCCUGGGAAAGAGUUUCUCCCCUACCCCUUAGCCCCACCCCAUCCCAGUUUUGGACGCACCAGGGAAGCCUGCAACCCUAACGCUUCUGAUAGCCUCUUGUGCCUAAGGACUGCAAGGAAGAAAAGAGACCUAAUUGAACACUCAAGGCAUCCCACUAAAAGCCAGCAUCUAAUUAUGGUGGGGCCCACACAGCAGGGACACUGAAGGGAAGAGGAGAUACUGAAAACAUCUUUAUACUCUUUUGCUCUGAAGAGUCCUUCCUGAGAUCAAAUGCAAUUUGAGCUAAGGAGGCAGUGACUGACACACUUUACCCCCAGCAAGCAUCUUGGAGACCAGCAGUCAGAACAUUUGUCAUCAUGCUUCGAUUUUGCCUAAUUAUUAAUAGAACACUUCUUUUUUUUUUUUCCCCAAUCCUUUACUAAUUACAAUUCUUGCAUAUUUUAAGCAGUUCACUUAGCACUCAGGAUUCCAGAUGAGCUGCUAUUUGGCUCUGAGAUGCAGAUUGGCUUCAGAGGACUGCAGUAGAAUCCUGUGGAUAUGCCCUUGGGUAGGAAGGAGGCUGGACUGGUGCCUUUUGAGAAGUUAAGAGGAGAAAAAAGCAAGAGUGUGGAGCCCAGAUAAGCCACCAAAUUAAUAGUGAAUUCAAAGAUUAAUAAAAGUUAAAAAAAACCUACUCACUUGCUGCUGAUAUUCAUAGGUGACAGGCAUUGGCCGCAUGAUCUUGAGAAGACCUCUUUACUUCCUAAUUAAAUGGCAUCAGUAAUAUAUGGCAGGACUAGUUACAAUUGCCAAGACCUGGGAACAACCUAAACGUCCAUAAUCUGGAUAAAGAAGAUUUGGUACAUAUAUACAAGGAAAUAUUACUCAGCCAUAAAAAAUGAGGUCAUGCCAUUUGCAGCAACAGGGAUAGACUUAAAUAUAUUAUACUAAGCGAGGUAAGUCACACAGACAAAUAUCAUACGAUAGCGUUUAUAUGUGGAGUCUAAAAAAUGAUGCAAAUUAACUUACAAAUAAAUAUACUCAUAGGCAUAGAAAACAACCUUAUGAUUGCCAAAAGGGAAAUAAAGGGAAAUAUAAUUAUAAGUUUGGGAUUAGCAAAUACACACUACUAUAUAUAAAAUUAAUAAAAACAAGGACAUACUGUAUA